GAUUAGAGUUUGAUCAUGGCUCAGAUUGAACGCUGGCGGUAUGCUUAACACAUGCAAGUCGGGCGAGUAGCCUUCGGGCGAGAGCGGCGGACGGGUGAGUAAUGCAUAGGAAUCUGCCCUGUAGUGGGGGACAACGUGGGGAAACCCACGCUAAUACCGCAUACGCCCCAAGGGGGAAAGCGGGGGACCUUCGGGCCUCGCGCUAUAGGAUGAGCCUAUGUCGGAUUAGCUAGUUGGCGGGGUAAAGGCCCACCAAGGCGACGAUCCGUAGCUGGUCUGAGAGGAUGAUCAGCCACACUGGGACUGAGACACGGCCCAGACUCCUACGGGAGGCAGCAGUGGGGAAUAUUGGACAAUGGGCGCAAGCCUGAUCCAGCAAUACCGCGUGUGUGAAGAAGGCCUGAGGGUUGUAAAGCACUUUUAAUGGGGAGGAACACCCGCCGGCCAAUACCCGGCGGACUGACAUUACCCA
rnacentral:rRNA from 1 species